rnacentral:rRNA from 1 species
CAAUAGCGUAUAUUAAAGUUGUUGCGGUUAAAAAGCUCGUAGUUGGAUUUCUGCUGAGGACGACCGGUCCGCCCUUCGGGUGAGUAUCUGGUUUGGCCUUGGCAUCUUCUUGGUGAACGUAUCUGCACUUGACUGUGUGGUGCGGUACCCAGGACUUUUACUUUGAGGAAAUUAGAGUGUUUCAAGCAGGCAUACGCCUUGAAUACAUUAGCAUGGAAUAAUAAGAUAGGACCUCGGUUCUAUUUUGUUGGUUUCUAGAGCUGAGGUAAUGAUUAAUAGGGAUAGUUGGGGGCAUUCGUAUUUAACUGUCAGAGGUGAAAUUCUCGGAUUUGUUAAAGACGGACUACUGCGAAAGCAUUUGCCAAGGAUGUUUUCAUUGA